GACGAACGCUGGCGGCGUGCCUAAUACAUGCAAGUUGAGCGAUGAAGAUUGGUGCUUGCACCAAUUUGAAGAGCAGCGAACGGGUGAGUAACGCGUGGGGAAUCUGCCUUUGAGCGGGGGACAACAUUUGGAAACGAAUGCUAAUACCGCAUAACAACUUUGAACAUAAGUUUUAAGUUUGAAAGAUGCAAUUGCAUCACUCAAAGAUGAUCCCGCGUUGUAUUAGCUAGUUGGUGAGGUAAAGGCUCACCAAGGCGAUGAUACAUAGCCGACCUGAGAGGGUGAUCGGCCACAUUGGGACUGAGACACGGCCCAAACUCCUACGGGAGGCAGCAGUAGGGAAUCUUCGGCAAUGGACGAAAGUCUGACCGAGCAACGCCGCGUGAGUGAAGAAGGUUUUCGGAUCGUAAAACUCGGUUGGUAGAGAAGAACGUUGGUGAGAGUGGAAAGCUCAUCAAGUGACGGUAACUACCCAGAAAGGGACGGCUAACUACGUG
rnacentral:rRNA from 1 species